rnacentral:rRNA from 1 species
UACGUAGGGAGCAAGCGUUGUUCGGAUUUACUGGGCGUAAAGGGCGCGUAGGCGGCGUGGUAAGUCAGCUGUGAAAUCUCCGAGCUUAACUCGGAACGGUCAGCUGAUACUGCUGUGCUAGAGUACAGAAAGGGCAAUCGGAAUUCUUGGUGUAGCGGUGAAAUGCGUAGAUAUCAAGAGGAACACCUGAGGCGAAGGCGGGUUGCUAGGCUGAUACUGACGCUGAGUGCGCGAAAGCUAGGGUAGCAAACGGG